rnacentral:rRNA from 1 species
UACGUAGGGCGCAAGCGUUAUCCGGAAUUAUUGGGCGUAAAGAGCUCGUAGGCGGUUUGUCGCGUCUGCUGUGAAAACCCAGGGCUCAACCCUGGGCCUGCAUUCGAUACGGGCAGACUAGAGUUCGGUAGGGGAGAGUGGAAUUCCUGGUGUAGCGGUGAAAUGCGCAGAUAUCAGGAGGAACACCGGUGGCGAAGGCGGGUCUCUGGGCCGAAACUGACGCUGAGGAGCGAAAGCGUGGGGAGCAAACAGG